GACGAACGCUGGCGGCGUGCCUAAUACAUGCAAGUCGAACGCAGUGGGGACGGGUGAGUAACACGUGGGUAACCUCCCAUCAGAGGGGAUAACACGUGGCAACAGGUGCUAAACCGCUACUGAUGGAUGGACCCGCGGUGCAUUAGCUAGUUGGUGAGGUAACGGCGCACCAAGGCCACGAUGCAUAGCCGACCUGAGAGGAUGAACGGCCACACUGGAACUGAGACACGGACCAGACUCCUACGGGAGGCAGCAGUAGGGAAUAUUCGACAAUGGACGAAAGUCUGACCGAGCCACGCCGCGUGAGUGAAGAAGGUUUUCGGAUCGUAAAGCUCUGUUGUUAGAGAAGCGGUAUCUAACCAGAAAGCCACGGCUAACUACGUGCCAGCAGCCGCGGUAAUUC
rnacentral:rRNA from 1 species